rnacentral:rRNA from 1 species
CGUUCCCAUUCCGAACACGGUAGUUAAGCUCGUUUCUGCCCACAAUACUUGGCUGGCGACGGCCCGGGAAGAUAGGUGGCGCCAACA